rnacentral:rRNA from 1 species
GAUGAACGCUGACAGAAUGCUUAACACAUGCAAGUCUACUUGAACUUCGGUUUGGGUGGCGGACGGGUGAGUAACGCGUAAAGAACUUGCCUCACAGUUAGGGACAACAUUUGGAAACGAAUGCUAAUACCUGAUAUUAUGAUUUUAGGGCAUCCUACAAUUAUGAAAGCUAUAUGCGCUGUGAGAGAGCUUUGCGUCCCAUUAGCUAGUUGGAGAGGUAACGGCUCACCAAGGCGAUGAUGGGUAGCCGGCCUGAGAGGGUGAACGGCCACAAGGGGACUGAGACACGGCCCUUACUCCUACGGGAGGCAGAAGGGGGGAAUAUUGGACAAUGGACCAAAAGUCUGAUCCAGCAAUUCUGUGUGCACGAUGACGUUUUUCGGAAUGUAAAGUGCUUUCAGUUGGGAAGAAAAAAAUGACGGUACCAACAGAAGAAGUGACGGCUAAAUACGUG